UGUUUCGGCUAGGGGGUCAUCCCGACUUACCAACCCGAUGCAAACUACGAAUACCGAAGAAUGUUAUCACGGGAGACACACGGCGGGUGCUAACGUCCGUCGUGAAGAGGGAAACAACCCAGACCGCCAGCUAAGGUCCCAAAGUCAUGGUUAAGUGGGAAACGAUGUGGGAAGGCACAGACAGCCAGGAUGUUGGCUUAGAAGCAGCCAUCAUUUAAAGAAAGCGUAAUAGCUCACUGGUCGAGUCGGCCUGCGCGGAAGAUGUAACGGGGCUAAACCAUGCACCGAAGCUGCGGCAGCGACACUAUGUGUUGUUGGGUAGGGGAGCGUUCUGUAAGCCUGCGAAGGUGUGCUGUGAGGCAUGCUGGAGGUAUCAGAAGUGCGAAUGCUGACAUAAGUAACGAUAAAGCGGGUGAAAAGCCCGCUCGCCGGAAGACCAAGGGUUCCUGUCCAACGUUAAUCGGGGCAGGGUGAGUCGACCCCUAAGGCGAGGCCGAAAGGCGUAGUCGAUGGGAAACAGGUUAAUAUUCCUGUACUUGGUGUUACUGCGAAGGGGGGACG
rnacentral:rRNA from 1 species